GCCGGAGGUUGCACGCGUUAUCCGGAAUUAUUGGGCGUAAAGCGUUCGCAGGUGGCUGUUCAAGUCUGCUGUCAAAGACCGGGGCUUAACCCCAGAAAGGCAGUGGAAACUGAACGGCUGGAGUGCAGUAUGGGUAGAGGGAAUUCCCAGUGUAGCGGUGAAAUGCGUAGAGAUUGGGAAGAACACCGGUGGCGAAAGAGCACUGCUGGACUGCAACUGACUCUGAGGGACGAAAGCUAGGGGAGAGAAAGGG
rnacentral:rRNA from 1 species